rnacentral:lncRNA from 1 species
GUGGGCUGCAGGAGUUCUGAUGCCCCCGUACUUAGUAACAGAAACUAACUCAUUGUAGAUUACUCGCGCUUAAAAAUGUUAAAUACAGUUAAUGCAAUAUUAAUCGCCCUUUGGUGAUAUAAAAUGCAAUAUUUUCAGGCAGCUAUUGAGCUUUUCCAGUGGAAGAGCUGAUGAAAAGAGUCACAGCUGAAUAGUGGAGAGAAAAAGCCUGGUAUUUAUUGCUUUUGUUUGGCUUUUGGCUACAGAGACAGGAGCCUUCUAAUGGGGAGAGGAAUUUGGCUGGUAGCCUCUGCACCCCAAAAUUCUACACUAUCCUCCCCCCAUCAAGGCUCAGGAAUCGGCUUGAAGCACAUGGAUCUUCAUUUACUAGAUUGGAAGACUCUAGAAGUUAUGAGGCACAUUGAGCUUCCAUCUUUGGUAUAGAACAGAAUGUCUGACACAGGUACAUAUUGUUAGCUACUAAGGCCUUACAGUAUGACACCAUGAUGCCAAAGGGAUCCUUCUGCUGUGUGUCACUGAGAAGAGGAAAUCUAAAGCUAAACCAUCUGUGUACUAAAUAAAG